rnacentral:rRNA from 1 species
CACUCCUGCGGGAGGCAGCAGUGGGGAAUAUUGCACAAUGGGCGCAAGCCUGAUGCAGCCAUGCCGCGUGUAUGAAGAAGGCCUUCGGGUUGUAAAGUACUUUCAGCGGGGAGGAAGGCGAUAAGGUUAAUAACCUUGUCGAUUGACGUUACCCGCAGAAGAAGCACCGGCUAACUCCGUGCCAGCAGCCGCGGUAAUACGGAGGGUGCAAGCGUUAAUCGGAAUUACUGGGCGUAAAGCGCACGCAGGCGGUCUGUCAAGUCGGAUGUGAAAUCCCCGGGCUCAACCUGGGAACUGCAUUCGAAACUGGCAGGCUAGAGUCGUGUAGAGGGGGGUAGAAUUCCAGGUGUAGCGGUGAAAUGCGUAGAGAUCUGGAGGAAUACCGGUGGCGAAGGCGGCCCCCUGGACAAAGACUGACGCUCAGGUGCGAAAGCGUGGGGAGCAAACAGGAUUAGAAACCCCAGUAGUCCCAUGAU